UUUUUAAAAAUUUAAACUGACUUUGGUAUCCAACUUGCUAAUUUUUUUCUCCAAUAAUGUAAUUAACUACAAAACUAUCAGAAACUCAGUUGAUUUCUGCUCUUUAUUUAGCUUGUUAUAAAAAUAUGUUCACUUGUUUGUACUUUAUUUUUUUUCCCUUUCUUUUUUCCAGAAAUUUAAUUUACAUACAUUGAAAAAACUUUUUUUUAAAAUUUAAAAUAAUACGUUUUCUUUGUGUCCCACAACGCAAUGAUUUGUUUUAAUUAUUUUCAUUAUUAAUUUAGUAAUAUGAAUAAAUUGGACGUGGCGUGUUUUACUUUGGACUCUCUGGGCAAGUGACUCAAUGAUUCAAAUGACUCAAAUGAAUCGAUUCACUUUGGUGAGUGACUCAUUAAAACUCGAGUCAGUAAAAGGAAUCAUAAUUCCCAUCACUAGCAUGGACAGAGUUGACUGGCAAGGAUUUAGUGGGCUUCCCAAAGCAAGAUUCUGGGGUAGACUGUGGGGUUUUCAUGCUAAUGGCUGCGCUGUAUAUUGUGCUGGG